AUGCACAAACCUUGAGGCUCCACAUGGCUCGGGUGCAUGAAAAUUGAAGUUUGAAUUCGUGUGUUGAAAAUAUGAAUUCAGCUUAAUUCAUGCUUUCAACCCAUGAAUUCAAUUUUUUUUUUUAAAUCAUGACUUGGGGUUACAUUCUUUGUCGAUCCUCCCCAAACUAUCGAUCCCCACCUCCCUGGCCUCUCCGACAGUGUUGCUCCCCUCCCCUUUGACAGCGAUCUCACC
rnacentral:lncRNA from 1 species